rnacentral:lncRNA from 1 species
AUGCCUGGAGGCUUCCCAGGAGGGAUGCCAGGUGGUUUUCCAGGGGCAGGAGGUAUGCCAGGUGGUUUUCCAGGGGCAGGAGGUAUGCCAGGUGGUUUUCCAGGGGCAGGAGGGAUGCCAGGUGGCUUUCCAGGCGCAGGAGGAAUGCCUGGAGGCUUUCCAGGGGCAGGAGGUGCACCUGGAGGCUCUGCAGGAGGGGCUCCUGGAAACAUUGACUUCAGCAAAAUAUUAAAUGUAUGUACGGUCUUGAUCAAAUUCAAUCAUUUACCAUGUUCUGAAGUUAGUGGUUAUGCUUUUUAGUCUGUGUUUAAACAUCAAGCUGUGAAAAUUAUAUGAAAAUAGAGAUAUUUUUACUUGAUACAUGUACAGAAUAAUAGUAAGCUGAAGUACAGAAUAGUUGUAUCAGUGUGUUUUCUACAGGUUACAUAGUCUUUCUUUAUAUUUAUUGUAGCAUUGUGCUCUCCAGUCAGAAAUGCA